rnacentral:rRNA from 1 species
UACAGAGGGUGCAAGCGUUAAUCGGAUUUACUGGGCGUAAAGCGCGCGUAGGUGGCCAAUUAAGUCAAAUGUGAAAUCCCCGAGCUUAACUUGGGAAUUGCAUUCGAUACUGGUUGGCUAGAGUAUGGGAGAGGAUGGUAGAAUUCCAGGUGUAGCGGUGAAAUGCGUAGAGAUCUGGAGGAAUACCGAUGGCGAAGGCAGCCAUCUGGCCUAAUACUAACACUGAGGUGCGAAAGCAUGGGGAGCAAACAGG